rnacentral:lncRNA from 1 species
CAUGAAUUCAUCUACGAGUCCAUGAAACCCAGAGCUGCUACCAGGACAGUUCUAGAACAGCCAGCAUCCUCAGCUUGCUCUUCAGUUCCUGCCUGUCUUGUCAUCACUGUCAGCAUCCAUUUGUCAAGCACCGAACAGUGUGAGCUGUUUUCCUUAGAGCUGGAGCACUGCUUGGCAGCCACUGGGCAAGCUGGUGGAGGAAGAGGAGAUACAAGGAUGAAUGAGAUGGAGACGCAGCCCACUGUCCAACCUACCCGGCGGCUUGUGUCCCAACAAGGGAAGAGACCUGCCCACAGACAGUGAGAAAUGGGGGAUGGAAGUACCUGUUCAAGUUUUUGUUUCAAGAGCGUUCAGCUGUCUAAACACUCAGCUCAGCCAAGCCUCACUCUGCAUACAGACUACAGAGGGACUUCAGAGGCUCAAGCAUCCUGCUCUCACCUUCCCAUCAGCAGAGCUCCUCGUUUCCAACCCUGACUGGAAGGAGAUGAACCCCACGGCAGAGGGCAGGUGAGGGUUGGAAGAAUUCAGGUGUAUAUUUAAAAAAAAAAAAAAGGAUUUAUUUCCCUUUGGCUGUGCUGGGUCUUUGUUGCUGUGUGUGGGUUUUCUCUAGUUGCAUCGAGCGGGGCUACGCUCUAGCUGCGGUGUGCAGGCUUCUCAUUGCGGCGGCUCCUCUU